rnacentral:lncRNA from 1 species
UUGGGAACAUCCAACAAUGAACCAGAACAUGCCCUCCAUAUUUCCCUACACAGAGCAUUAUCACCUGGAAAAAAAAAUCACCCACCCACCUCACUAGAAAAAUGAAACUAAGAAAAUAAUCAAAUAAAUCAAGAAUUUGUAAGGAAAAUUCAAUGACCUUCAAAAUGUUUUAGCUGUGAAUUAGACCCCAGUAAAUCGACCAUAACUGAAGCAAUGCAACAACUUGCUAGUUCUCAAUUUUAUUAAGAAUACCCAUCUAUUUCUUGAUAGCAAAAGAAAAAAAAAGAAGAUAAGAAAGGCAAUCUUUUUAGGCUAGAAUUUAUCUGAACAAAAUGCAAACUUUUUGGUUAAAGGUUUACUAGAACAAAAUGCUUUUG